rnacentral:rRNA from 1 species
UACGUAGGAGGCGAGCGUUGUCCGGAUUUACUGGGCGUAAAGGGCGCGCAGGCGGCACUCUAAGUACGGCGUGAAAUCUCCCUGCUCAACGGGGAGGGUGCGUGAGUAAACUAGAGAGCUAGAGGUCGGUAGAGGGGGGUGGAAUUGCUGGUGUAGCGGUGAAAUGCGUAGAGAUCAGCAGGAACACCCGUGGCGAAGGCGGCCCCCUGGGCCGAACCUGACGCUGAGGCGCGAAGGCUAGGGGAGCGAACGGG